rnacentral:rRNA from 1 species
CCUACGGGAGGCAGCAGUGGGGAAUAUUGCACAAUGGGGGAAACCCUGAUGCAGCGACGCCGCGUGAGUGAAGAAGUAUUUCGGUAUGUAAAGCUCUAUCAGCAGGGAAGAAAAUGACGGUACCUGAUUAAGAAGCCCCGGCUAACUACGUGCCAGCAGCCGCGGUAAUACGUAGGGGGCAAGCGUUAUCCGGAUUUACUGGGUGUAAAGGGAGCGUAGACGGCUGCACAAGUCUGGAGUGAAAUGCUGGGGCUUAACCCCGGAACUGCAAUGGAAACUGUGCAGCUAGAGUGCAGGUGAGGUAAGUGGAAUGUGUGGGGUAGAGGUGAAAUGCUUAGAUAUAACGAAGAACUACGAUGGCGAAGGGAGCGUACGAAAAUGCAACGGACGUGGAUGCGCGAAAGUGUGGGUAGGAAACAGGAUUAGAUACCAGAGUAGUC